UUAUAGCGUAAAAGUUAAUUAUAUUCAUAUAUACUAUAAAGCAAAUAACCAAAGCAUAAAAUUUCUUUUACAGUGACACGUGGGCCCACCUCUAACCAAAAUGCAUCGGAAGCUAUAAACCUACAGCUUUUACCGAUUUGAGUCCAAUUGAAAGUCCUUGUCAAAGUCAGCUAACUAUGGAAUUCCCCAAGCCUGAAAUGUGAGGAAAUGAGGGUGGUGAGAUUAUAAAAUCCCAGUGAGUAAACAAAUACCAUUUAAACUAUCUAAAGUUGAGUAAAUGGAGACAAUUAAAAUAAGUUAUCAUAUUGUAAUUUCAUUACCUUUCAACUCAUUUCAACAAAAUAAAAUCAAUCCAUAAAAAUCGAGUAAUCAACUUGGCUUAUGAAUUUCUUAAAACUUUGGCUCGUGCCAAAACUCAUACUCGGUGAUACCUUGCGCAGGGCAUCCAACCGAGUCCGCCAAGGCUGUUAAAUUUUUUGUAUACACUUAAAAUAUAUUUUUAGUUUGAGAAAAAUACAGCCGUUCCUUGGCGUUAGCUGAGUUUCCCUUCACGUGGUGGUUUGGCGUAAAGUGAACCCUAAGCUUUACCCGAGGAGAUACCCUACGCACCUCUCCGUUCGAGGUAAGAAUAUAAUGGAGUUUACCGUGCCCCUCUAAUAGGCUGGUCCACGGAACCCCCUCUGCAAUGAAUAAUUAAUAUAUAAUCCACCAAUCAAUAAAAUUCAUUCUAGCAUGACAUGGCAAUUUAUCGUAACCUAGCCUCUCAAGGCUGAAUAUACAGUAUAAAUAAUUCUAACACCAAAAUUAGUUUAGCCAUUCAUGCUCAUUUAUUGUCAUAAGCCAUUCAAUUCAAAACCAUAAAUUUGCAACACAAGCAGGCAGUCUCCAAUUACUCUAUUUUCAAAACCAGUAUUCGAUUUUUCCAGAAAAUUUAUGAAAUCGCAAUUUCUCUUAAAACAUAGCAAUUUACCAUUUAAACUCAUUCUCCAUAAAAUCACACAAUUGUAUAAAACUACUUUAGAUAAUUAAGACGAUAAUAAGUUCACUCAUUGUUCUAGGAGUCGAUGUACUCCUAAUCCCAGUCUUCAAGCACAAUUUUUGUACUUUUACCAGUGUACUUUGCUCACCACCUAUCCACAAUGUACAAUGCAUAAUUCAUCACAUCAAUGCUUGACCAUUAUAAAAUCAAUUUAGGCUCGGUAUAUAUGCAUGAUAUGAUAUACAACUUAUCCGACUACCGCUUAAAUGCGGUGCUGACCUAAUUCGACCUAUUAUCUCCAGUUUAACUCCAAAUCAAUUCUUUUCACUUUCUACACUCCAAUUAUACUUAAAUUACCUUAGUGACUUUGAAUGAGAUUCAAUUUAUCAGUCUCGGUAGCAAAUUACACAAAUACCCUUAGUGGGUAAAAAUUCGUAUUUUUGCUCCGAAAAUUCCCAUUAUUUUUCUAGGCUCAUAAUUCAUCAUUUCUUAACUAAUUCUCCUAGAAUGAAAAUCAAAUUCAUCCUCACUCAACACAUGAUAAAUUCGGCCAUUAAUGGUUGUGGGAGAAAAUAAAUUCUUUUCUUGUUGUUUUGUUUCUAAAUAUGCUAAACUAACUUAAAACACUAACAUAACUUAAAAUCAAAUUAAUCUAACAAUUUUCUCUCUCCUAACCCAUUUUUCAGAAUUGAAUUCAUCAUAAUAACUCAAUAUUUAACCACGAAAAUCAAGAACAAAAGCAUGGGUAAGCUAGGUAUCAAGGAGAACUAAAGAAAUUCUAACUUACCUAGCUUGUUUCCUUGAUUUCUUCACUUUUUCUUUGAAUUUUCACCUAGGUUUUCUUGUUUUUCCCUUUGUUCUUCCUCUCUUUCUCUCUCUUCCUUGCUUGGCCGGCCAUAUGAAGAAAAUGGGCUGAUUUUAUGCCUUUUUAUAAAGAAACAAUAAAAUAAUAAAGGUAUGACACAUGGCAUUUUCUUAUUGGUCCAUUUUUAAAAUUUUAAAAUUUUAAUCCUUUUUAUCUCCACCACACAAUUAGUCAAUGGUCAAAAUGAGGAUAAAGGAAGACCAUGUGCUGGAAAAAUGUCCUGGUGGUGGAAAAUUACAAUUUUGCCCCUGGGGUGGCAAAAUUACCAUUUUACCCUUUUACUCCAAAUUAUACCGAAAUUAAAAUUUUUCACUUCUAAACCUCAAAUCUUACUCCAAUAAGUCAAAUUAUACUCCAAUAAGUCAAAUGGGGCCAAAAAAAUCUUUUCUAAAAUUCUCAUUUUGUCCCCAGGUGGCAAAUGACCAUUUUGCCCCUAGAUAGCGAAAAUUCCGGUUUGACUCCAAAUUGAUCCUCGAACUCCGAAUCACCAUAUUAAACCAUUCUGGGACUUUAAAAUUCUUAAUUUCAUCGUAAAUUCUCUAUUUGAUCUAGUUCGAGGCUUAAAUCAACUUUAUUGUACCUCUAGGUACAAUACCGACUUUUGUAAAUUUUUCGAGACUCUCCUAGCAUGCAAACAUGCUAUCCAUCACAUGUAUGUCAUGACAAAUAUUUUUAUAGAGUCGGGCUUGUCAUCUUCUCCCCCACUUGGAUCAACCAUAUGAUCCUUCUUCAUGACUGAUUUCGACAUCCGGCUAAAUAUUAAUAUUUUAAUAUUAUUUUAUUAAUAAAAUAUUAUUUUAUUCUAAAAAUUUUAUCUUGUCUCCUUGGUACCCAAAAUACCUUAUUAUGCCUCACUUGACUUCCAAAUCGCCUUUUAUCUCACAAAUUCUCCUCCGAUAAAAUUAUUAUUAUUUUAUUAUUAUUUUCUCACUUGCGAAAUAUUUUAUCCUAAACUACUCCUUUCGUCUUUUAUCACUUCUAAACAUUUUAAUUGACCUCAAUUUGCAUUCGAUCAACUUUAUUUAUCACCAUAUCAAAGUAUGGGGUAUUUCAAUCACCCCCACUUAAAUAGAAUUCGUCCUCGAAUUCCCGUCGAUGUUGCGUUAUCAAUCUCCUUCUAUGAUCCUACUCCUUGUUCCUUCUAUAGGGACAUUCAAUUUAUUUACCUCGUUCACCUUCAGUUCAAUUAAAUGCUUUAUUUAUGGCAAUUAUCAUCCUUUGGAACCGGAUCAGUAAUACUUUUCACAACCAUGAUCUCUUAUAUCUAGACACUAAGCAUGCCUUUAUCACCAUUAUUAAAUUUGAACCAUAACUUCAUCUCAAUUAUACCGAUUUCGAUCACAUAUCAUACUUACUUAUGUAUACCUAUUCAUCAUUUUAUUAAUUUGCUCCAUACCAAAUUUCUCAACCUUGAUUCAUCCAUCUUAUACUGGUCCAUACCCUUCCUUUAAUAGAGUUCCAUUAAGAACUUAAACAAUUCAAGGUUUACCUUCAAAGUCAUUCAUAACUUUAAUCGUUCAUUACAUGUCCGUUAACACUUUAGCUCACUAACCUCUCUGGACACUAUUUCAAAAUCUCCCAAUUACCGAGAACCAUUCUUCACUUCAGUUAGUAAAAUUAUCAAUUUCAUAUAUACAUAUAUACAUGCAUUUUCAAAUGUCAACAUCUCUCUUUAUAUAUAGGAAUCCAUGUGUUCACAUGCCUUGGACUACAUUCCCCCUUUAUUCAUCCGUAUCCCAAUCCUAGUUUCAAUAUAAUAAUUCUUAUAGUGCAUGUCAACCUUCUUAUUAUACUUGUGUAUAACUUCAUAUCAUUCAUAUCAUUUCCAACCAUAUGUUUGAGUUUCCUUAUACUAUAUAUCAUUCAUCACAAUGUCAUCUCCAUUGAAUUAUAAUCUAUUAUGCGUGUAUGCUUUAUAAUCCUAUUGAUGCCUCAAAGAUUUAUCUCAACUUGAUCAUUGCAUCUCAUGCAAUACCACAAUUCCUAAGAGUCAUCCUUUUGUCCUUAAUCAUCUUUCAUGCCUCUAUAUUACCUUGUAUCUUUCUUGCAUUACGAUAUUGAUUUGUCACUUAAGACUCGAACCCAUUUGAAUCAUGUAUGCCUUAAGCAUUUUCGAAUUCCAAUUUCCAUAAUAUAUUAGGAAAGUUUCAUUAUCUGACUUCAUUUUCAAGGUCAACUUCUAUCAUCCUUUGUUCCACUCCUUCAUAUGAACAUAACAUCAUUCUUCCUUAACUAAUUUAUAAAUUGUACUUGAAAUUGUAAAACUUAAAACUAGAUUCUCCUCAAGUAUUUUUCAAUACUAAUACUAAUAUCACUCUCAGCUUACAGCUUCUUUUUUUAAUCACAUAACUUAGUGCUUGCUUUAACGAGAUCCAGAGCAAAACUUCUCUUGAGUAUUUCCUUGGGAAUAUCUAUCUUAAACUUAUGUCUCACAGCAUGUGAUCCCUUAACUUGUGAUUUAGCCGUUAGGCUUCUCAGCAAGUUUUAAAAAUUUUACGUUUCAUACUUGCUGUGUAUGAUUAGAAUCUCUUCUCAAAGAUGUUUAUGUAUUCCUAAAACACUUACUCUUAAAGAUAUAUAAAUACGUACUCAUCCAUUCAAUCCCUAACUCAUCUUCAUAGGUUUCUAGGGUGUCACACAAUUAGCCUCAUGUUGUUCCUAACUCUUGUCAUUUUACUGUAUCAAAACAGAUAUUACAAAUUCUCGUAAUGAUAUUCUAUAUAAACUGAUUUUCUAUACCAGUCUCGUAAUUCUUCCUUCACACUUUCAUUAUUUGGUAUCUCAUCUCAAUAUAGUCAUUUCAAGAAUCUUUCAAUUUUUUUUUUUUAAUUAUAUGCCUAUAUACAAGGCAAUAAAGAAGUUUUUCAAUUCAUUUGGGUAAACAUUCUCCAGAAUAUUCAACACUCCCAGAUAACAAAACACAAUGACCAACAACCAAAAUUCAAUUUGUAAGCUCAUUAUCGUGUCACUCCCAUCUUACUCAUGCAUCAUAGGCGUGAGGUAUUCGGAGCAGUAUAAUGUUGAACAGUCAAUGCUGAAGUACUGUAGCUAUUAGAAAUUUUCCCAUCAAAGCUAUUUGUCUGCAUUCAAAGUCACCACAUCAAUCAUUCUCAACCAGUGGUUUCCCUUCUAGAUAUAUAUCAUGAGUUCCAUAAGUAUAGGUACCUUCUAUUUUCUUGUCAUACACACUAAGCCAGAUUAAUACUUUCAUCUCAUGUCAUCUUUUGACUUUUAUCAACAUUCAUAAAAUUCCACCUCAAAACAUCCUUUCCAUACAGUGUAAUAAAUUCAUGAUACAUACACCACUCCACACAUAAGUUGCUUACUAUCUACAACUUUCUUCAAAUUUAUUGUCAUCCCUAUCCAAUUAUCUUCUUUGUCUUAUACUCUAAUAAUUUUAUUGACUUUUGGUAAAAUUAACUACGAAAAUAGCCCAACUUAUUCCUCACUUUAUUCUCGCAAUCCUUACUAAAUCAAAAUUUUAUAUUCCCCAUAUUCCAUAAUUUAACUUCAUUGGGUUAUAUUUGUGCCCAACUAUUACCUUAUAGUGUCAUAACAUCACUGAAUACUCCCCUUCAUGCUUAAAUUACAAUCAUUAAUGUAAUCACAUUAUCCAUUCCGAAUGUCAUUUAUAACCUUAUUGCUUCCUUCUAUAACCUUCCUCAAUAAUUAUAUUACCAAUUUGUCCCUAUCAUACUAAACAUUCCCAUAUACCUUCAGUUACUUAAAUAGCCAUUUUAUAAUACAUUCUAGUCAUAUACUUUUAAAAGCCAAACUAUUUUUACUUCUUUGUACAGAUCAUUAUUAUCUCUUUUACACAACAUCUACUUAGAGUUAAGGCAGUGUAAAAUCCUAGGAAAAUAUUACAUGUCCUUGGGAUCAUCAUCUUAAUCUGAUCUUAUCGAAAGAUUCUACUCCGAGUCCUCCUAAAGAUCCCCUUCCGGGUUUUCCUCCUCUUGAGAUUUUUUUCUUUGCUUUUCAAUCCAGGCUUGUUGUCUUCUCCUAAUUUCCUCAGCACUCACCGGUGCAGCAUUUCUUCCACAUCCAGGAGGAAAAUGGUGUACAACGUUCACCCCCUUCCUAAGACGAAUAUCUCCCCUUGCAAUUGCCUUCCUCGUAUGUUCUCUAUGGUACUCUUCGGAUUGUUUCAAAAGAAAAUCUAUUUCAGUUUUCAGAAUAUUGGAGCUACUCUCACUUUCAAAAUUCUGGCUACUCUCAAAGCUUUCCUUAUUAUGAACCCAUUCUGCUAAGUUUAGAGGAAUUCUAUUAUUAGGAAUUUGGGAUGGACCACUUUCUGAAUCACCUGUAUCAGGGUGCCAUUUGCUUCUAGCCGUAGAAUUUAGAGAUCCAUCGCUAUCACUAUGAGAGGUAUCGAAACUACCACCUCUUCUAGACAUGGUGUGUAUGUCACCAAUGCACCUCAAAACCUAUAUGCAAUCAAAUAGUAAUUGUUUAAUUAUUUAUGCAUCUCAAAAGUAGGUAGAUUUUUAUAUGUAGAUGCAUACAUUCUAUUCAAUCUAACCUAACUUAACUUAACUUAACUUAUCUUAACUUAACCAGACUUGGGGCCACGCAGUGUCAGUGUAGAUUUCUUAAAACAACCUUAAAAUCAAAAACAUUAAAAUCCAAAGCUUUAAAACCAAAAUCUUUGAUCUUUAAACCAUGCUCUGAUACCAAUCCAAAUUGUCAUGACCCGAAACUCCCCAUCGGGCCCGUGACAACCGCCGCGAGGCCUCGACAAACAUUCUUCACCCCGAAUGCCGAUCGAAACCCCACAAGGCUCUCAUAUUAGCUUUCGCACUUCCCCGAUGAGCAAUACUUAUCAAAUAUCAAAAUUCAAGGGAUUACAAAUCAUUUCAAAAUCAGAACAUAACAUUUUGUUUUCUAGCUCAUAGGGGCAUUUUCGUUAUUUUUUUUAAAAUCUCAAAACUUACUAAAAAUGUAGUAGGUAAGCAAAAAAUAGAUAUUUAAUGAUUUAAAAACAAAUUAAGUAUCUAAAACGUUCAUUUGAAGUGAAAAUUUGACCAUUUGAAUAUAAUAAAAAUAUUCAUUAAAAUAAACUAUUUUCUUGUAAAAUAAUUUUCAUAAAACUAUCGGUACAUAAUUCUUAUAGCGUAAAGGUUAAUUAUAUUCAUAUAUACUAUAAUGCAAAUAACCAAAGCAUAAAAUUUCUUUUACAGUGACACGUGGGCCCACCUCUAAGCAAAAUGCAUCGAAAGUUGGAAACUUACAGCUUUUACCGAUUUGAGUCCAAUUGAAAGUCCUUGUCAAAGUCAGCUAACUAAGGAAUUCUCCGAGCCUGAAAUGUGAGGAAAUGAGGGUGGUGAGAUUAUAAAAUCCCAGUGAGUAAACAGAUACCAUCUAAACUAUCUAAAGUCGAGUAAAUGGAGACAAUUAAAAUAAGUUAUCAUAUUGUAAUUUCAUUACCUUUCAACUCAUUUCAACCAAAUAAAAUCAAUCCAUAAAAAUCGAGUAAUCAACUUGGCUUAUGAAUUUCUUAAAACUUUGGCUCGUGCCAAAACUCAUACUCGGUGAUACCUUGUGCAGGGCAUCCAACCGAGUCCGUCAAGGCUGUUAAAAUUUUUGUAUACACUUAAAAUAUAUUUUUAGUUUCAGAAAAAUACAGCCGUUCCUUGGCGUUAGCUGAGUUCCCCUUCACGUGGUGGUUUGGCGUGAAGUGAACCCUAAGCUUUACCCCAGGAGAUACCCUAUGCACCUCUCCGUUCGAGGUAAGAAUAUAAUGGAGUUUACCGUACCCCUCUAAUAGGCUGGUCCACGGAACUCCCUCUUCAGUGAAUAAUUAAUAUAUAAUCCACCAAUCAAUAAAAUUCAUUCUAGCACGACAUGACAAUUUAUCGCAACCUAACCUCUCAAGACUGAAUACACAGUAUAAAUAAUUCUAACACCAAAAUUAGUUUAGCCAUUCAUGCUCAUUUAUUGUCAUAAGCCAUUCAAUUCAAAACCAUAAAUUUGCAACACAAGCAGGCAGUCUCCAAUUACUCUAUUUUCAAAACGAGUAUUCGAUUUUUCCAAAAAAUUUAUAAAAUCAUUUCAUAAAAUCGCAAUUUCUCUUAAAACAUAAAAAUUUACCAUUUAAACUCAUUUUCCAUAAAAUCACACAAUUGUAUAAAACUACUCUAGAUAAUUAAGACGAUAAUAAGUUCACUCACUGUUUUAGGAGUCGAUGUACUCCUAAUCCCAAUCUUCAAGCACAAUUUUUGUACUUUUACCAGUGUACUUUGCUCACCACCUAUCCACAAUGUACAAUACAUAAUUCAUCACAUCAAUGCUUGACCAUUAUAAAAUCAAUUUAGGCUCGGUAUAUAUGCAUGAUA
rnacentral:lncRNA from 1 species